GGAAUCAUUGGGUUUAAAGGGUCCGCAGGCGGGGUUAUAAGUCAGUGGUGAAAUCUCAUAGCUUAACUAUGAAACUGCCAUUGAUACUGUAGCUCUUGAAUUCGGUCGAAGUGGGCGGAAUAUGACAUGUAGCGGUGAAAUGCAUAGAUAUGUCAUAGAACACCGAUGGCGAAGGCAGCUCACUAGGCCUGGAUUGACGCUCAGGGACGAAAGCGUGGGGAGCAAACAGGAUUAGAUACCCUGGUAGUCCACGCCGUAAACUAUGAUUACUCGUUUUCAGCGAUAUACAGUUGGAGACUAAGCGAAAGUGAUAAGUAAUCCACCUGGGGAGUACGAUCGCAAGGUUGAAACUCAAAGGAAUUGACGG
rnacentral:rRNA from 1 species